rnacentral:rRNA from 1 species
UACAGAGGGUGCGAGCGUUAAUCGGGAUUACUGGGCGUAAAGCGCGCGUAGGCGGUUCGUUAAGUCAAAUGUGAAAUCCCCGAGCUUAACUUGGGAAUUGCAUUCGAUACUGGCGAGCUAGAGUAUGGGAGAGGAAGGUAGAAUUCCACGUGUAGCAGUGAAAUGCGUAGAGAUGUGGAGGAACACCGAUGGCGAAGGCAAUCCCCUGGACCUGUACUGACGCUCAUGCACGAAAGCGUGGGGAGCAAACAGG